rnacentral:rRNA from 1 species
UACGUAGGCAGCGAGCGUUGUUCGGAAUUACUGGGCGUAAAGAGUGUGUAGGCGGUGUUCCCAGUCUGUUGUGAAAUCUCCCGGCUUAACUGGGAGGGUGCAGCGGAAACUAGAAUGCUAGAGGGUGGGAGAGGUAAGCGGAAUUCCUGGUGUAGCGGUGAAAUGCGUAGAUAUCAGGAGGAACACCUGUGGUGUAGACAGCUUACUGGGACCACUUCUGACGCUGAGACACGAAAGCGUGGGUAGCAAACAGG